AUUAAAUCAGUGGGCAACUACUGUAAGAACACAACAUUACAUGCACCGCGUCUCCUCUUUCUCUCUUCCAUUUCUGUUUAAUUUUCUAAUCAUCGUUUUCACCCUUAAUUUAAAAAAUAGCCAGUCUCAGAUAGUAGUAAAAUUCCAGUAUUUGAGAAGUAACCAGAAUGGGAAAAUUCGACUGGAGAUACGUCAAGUUGUUCGUGCUUGUACUUGUUGGGAGUGUAAAUGGCGGAAUUGAAGGAGUGAUCAAAGUGAAUUAUAAAUUUUCCGGGUCGGAGAGGAAUUUACGUGCCCUAAAAGCUCAUGACGAAAUGCGCCACCUCAGAAUCCUCGCCGGUAUCGACCUUCCUAUCGGCGGCAUUGGCCGUCCUGAUUCCGUCGGGCUUUAUUAUGCUAAGAUUGGGAUUGGAACACCUCCAAAUAAUUAUUAUGUCCAAGUAGAUACAGGAAGUGACAUUAUGUGGGUUAACUGCAUUACGUGUCAAGAAUGCCCCAGAAGAGGCUAUCAUGGUCUGGAGCUAACACUCUACAAUCCAAGGGAUUCUCUCACUGGUAAACUCAUUGUUUGUGGUAACUCAUUUUGCAAAGACAUCGACAGAGGUUCAGGAUCAGGCUGCUCUGGUAAUACUUCUUGUACUUAUAGUCAAGUUUAUGGAGAUGGAAGCUAUAGUAGGGGCUACUUUGUGGAGGAUGUUGUCCAAUAUGAUCAGGUGUCAGGUGAUCUCCAAACUAAAUCAUCAAAUGGGAGUGUUAUUUUUGGGUGUGGUGCUUCACAAUCUGGGGAUCUGAGUUCCUCUGAUGAAGCUCUUGAUGGGGUUCUUGGAUUUGGGAAAUCCAAUUCAUCCAUGCUUUCCCAGCUGGCUUCAUCUGGAAGAGUGACGGAAAAGUUUGCACACUGCUUAGAUAGUGUGAACGGUGGUGGUAUUUUUGCCAUUGGGGAUGUUGUGCAACCAAAAGUAAACAUGACUCCUUUGGUACCUAAUCAGCCACAUUACAAUGUCAAUAUGAUGGCAGUUGAAGUUGGUUAUCAGUUUCUAAACCUGUCUGUUGAUGUACUUAUGAAUGGAGAGAACAAUGGAGUAAUAAUUGAUAGCGGAACAACAUUGGCUUAUCUUCCUGAGGUGAUUUAUGGUCCACUAGUGAAAAAGAUAUUCUCCUGGCAACCUGAUCUUAAAUUGCGUACAAUUCAUGAUGAGUAUACAUGCUUUGAAUACUCUGGAAGUGUUGAUGAUGGAUUCCCUCAAGUCACUUUUCAUUUUGAAAAUUCUCUUUCUUUAAGAGUUAGACCCCACGAAUAUCUAUUCCCAUAUGAAGAUUUAUUUUGCAUUGGAUGGCAAAAUAGUGGUACUCAAUCAAGGGAUAAAUGGAACCUCACGCUUUUCGGAGAUUUGGUACUCUCAAAUAAGCUAGUCUUGUAUGAUCUUGAAAACCAGGCCAUUGGUUGGACCGAAUAUAAUUGCUCAUCAAGCAUUGAAUUAAAAGACGAAAUUACUGGAUCGGUUCGUUUAUUCUGCUGCACAACUAUCUAUUCAACUGGUAAAAUCUGCAGCUUGUGGCUUUCAACCGGGCGUGCAUAUUUUACAUUCAGAAUGGACUGCAAAUUAAAAGCAAAGCUGAAAUAUAGAACAGAUUAACAGAUAAUUCCAUUUUGUAUGUAGCUGGCUUAUGUUGCAAAAGGAAUACUCCCAGCGUACAAGGGAUCCCGCAUUCACGCAGGAUCCGGGAAAGGACCGUGAUGUAGACAGCCUACCUAAUGCAAGCAUUAGUGGCUGCUUCUACGGCUCGAACCCGUGAUCUAAAGGUCAGAUAACUUUUCGAUGCACAAGUAUUAAAAUAUUUAUCUGAUAUCUGCUAGUAGCAAAACUAUAUCUGUGAUAAGCUUGUGAGAUUACCUCAUUUUCAGUUUACUGGAAGAUUACAAGUAACAGUCAUACUAGAAAUUCCUUCAAACUUUUUUUUAUUUUACAAGUCUCAAAAACUUUUCUAUGAAAUAUUUCGAAGCUGUAUGAUGAGUUUGGUUUUGGUAUCUUGUGCAAGUAGAAAAAUACCAAUACCUGAGUUUCCAUUUAAAUUUUUACGUCAAGU